GAAUGUAUGACUAAUGUCAAUAAUACACGGAACAAAAAUACCGUCGAACCGCUUUGAGCGGUCCGUGCCUCAAAUCUGUCCCCCGUGCGUCACGUGUGAAAGACAGACUUUCACUUAUAUCAACAAAUAUGCCGAAGGCAGCGACAGUGAAGGGACAGGUGGAGAAGACUGUUCACCCAUUCAGCAGAAAAGCGCUUCGUUUCUACUUCACUUUUACAUUUAUUCACUAAAAUUUUACUUUUUAUGCUUUUACGCCUGUAAAAGGAAUAUGUCUUCAAAUCACUUCUGGGUUAAAGGGUGAAAAGGGACAGCGGCUAAAUUUGAUUGGUACCUUCACCGGUUUGACAGAGAGAAAGAGCUCAUUAUGAAGGCUAUGGCUUUGAAAUCCCUGAUAUCAUCAACUUUAAG